rnacentral:rRNA from 1 species
UACAGAGGGUGCAAGCGUUAAUCGGAAUUACUGGGCGUAAAGCGUGCGCAGGCGGUUUGUAAGCCAGAUGUGAAAUCCCCGGGCUUAACCUGGGAAUGGCAUUUGGGACUGCAAGGCUUGAGUGCGGCAGAGGAGACUGGAAUUCCUGGUGUAGCAGUGAAAUGCGUAGAUAUCAGGAGGAAUACCGAUGGCGAAGGCAGGUCUCUGGGCUGACACUGACGCUCAUGCACGAAAGCGUGGGGAGCAAACAGG